rnacentral:rRNA from 1 species
AUUGAACGCUGGCGGCAGGCCUAACACAUGCAAGUCGAGCGAGCGGCGGACGGGUGAGUAAUGUAUGGGGACUGCCCGAUAGAGGGGGAUAACUAUUGGAAAAGGUAGCUAAUACCGCAUACUAUCGGAUAACCCAUAUGGGAUUAGCUAGUAGGGGAGGUAAUGGCUCACCGAGGCGACGAUCCCUAGCUGGUCUGAGAGGAUGAUCAGCCACACUGGGACGGAGACACGGCCCAGACUCCUACGGAGGCAGCAGUGGGGACUAUUGCACAAUGGGCGCAAGCCUGAUGCAGCCAGGCCGCGUGUAUGAAGAAGGCCCUGGGGUGGUAAAGUACUUUCAGUCGGGAGGCGUUACCGGCAGAAGAAGCACCGGCUAACUCCGUGCCAGCAGCCGCGGUAAUAC